rnacentral:piRNA from 1 species
CCCCGUACUCAAGUUCUGGUCAAUGAGAAG